UACGCCGCGCGCGUCAGUGGAAAGCUUCGUUGCACCUGAGGCAUGGGCAUGGGAUAUACAAUCGCCAUUCAGGCAUUAGUUUUACACGUAGCACUCAAAUGCAACGCAAUUUGGAAGCUGAAUGAACACAAACACGGGCCGACAAAGCGAUGAAAGGUAUAUGAUUAAUGGCUAAGCAGGAGCCAGGCCGAAACGGAAAAUGGCCGAAACAAGCGAAGAGCCCCGUUUGUUUACUUCCGCGAAACACAAAGCAAUGACGUCACUGCAGUAGCUGCAAUCACGCAUACGCCAGGUUGGACCGGCCUCAGGGGUUCGAUAUAUGUAUAUGGAUUCGUUGGAACAGCAAACAGCAAACGGCCAACGGCUAGGAAAACCAAAACAAACGCAGCAUGUAGUAGCCAAAAAUCGUGCCAACAGCUGAGCGGAAAAGCUCUGGGAAAAGCUUUUCCAUUUGCCGGCUACGAGACCAAGAUCCGAGAUCCAUCGAUCGGCCAUCUCCUCUCUCAUUUCGGUCUUUGUCCAGUGCGUUCUAGACGGUGCGCCUUUGCAGACGUGUGGCGAAUCAAAAACCAAACAAAGUUCGAUCACAGACCCAAUACCCAAAAUUAUGCAAUGAGUGCGUAGGCAACAUGAAGAGUUGCAAAUAAUUCAAUACACAAAUAAAUGAACACGCAAAAGCAACAGCAGCAG